UACGUAGGGUGCGAGCGUUAAUCGGAAUUACUGGGCGUAAAGUGUGCGCAGGCGGCCGAGCAAGUCGAGUGUGAAAGCCCCGGGCUUAACUUGGGAAUUGCGCUCGAAACUACUUGGCUGGGGUGUGGCAGAGGAAGGUGGAAUUCUCGGUGUAGCGGUGAAAUGCGUAGAUAUCGAGAGGAACACCUGCGGCGAAGGCGGGUUGCUGGGCUGAUACUGACGCUGAGGCGCGAAAGCCAGGGGAGCGAACGGG
rnacentral:rRNA from 1 species